rnacentral:rRNA from 1 species
GUAGUCAUAUGCUUGUCUCAAAGAUUAAGCCAUGCAUGUCUAAGUAUAAGCAAUUAUACCGUGAAACUGCGAAUGGCUCAUUAAAUCAGUUAUCGUUUAUUUGAUAGUACCUUACUACUUGGAUAACCGUGGUAAUUCUAGAGCUAAUACAUGCUGAAAACCCCAACUUCGGGAGGGGUGUAUUUAUUAGAUAAAAAACCAACGCCCUUCGGGGCUUCUUGGUGAUUCAUGAUAACUUUACGGAUCGCAUGGCCUUGCGCUGGCGACGGUUCAUUCAAAUUUCUGCCCUAUCAACUUUCGAUGGUAAGGUAUUGGCUUACCAUGGUUUCAACGGGUAACGGGGAAUGG